rnacentral:rRNA from 1 species
UACAGAGGUCUCAAGCGUUGUUCGGAUUCAUUGGGCGUAAAGGGUGCGUAGGUGGUCAGGUAAGUCUGAUGUGAAAGCCCAGGGCUCAACCCUGGAAUUGCCUUUAAGACUGCAUCGCUUGAACAUCGGAGAGGUAAGUGGAAUUCCGAGUGUAGAGGUGAAAUGCGUAGAGAUCGGGAGGAACACCAGUGGCGAAGGCGGCUCGCUGGGCCGGUCCUGACACUGAGACGCGAAGGCGUGGGGAGCGAACGGG